UAUGACCUCAGUAAUGGAUAGCUUGGCUCUUGCAUCGAGAAGUGCGCAGUGAAAUAUGAUACGUGGUGCGAAUUGUAGAAUCCCAUGAACCAUCAAGUUCUUGAAUGCAAGUAGCGCUCAAGGCUAACUGGCUGAGGGCACAUCUUCUUGGGUGUCACGG
rnacentral:rRNA from 1 species